UACGUAGGGUGCGAGCGUUAAUCGGAAUUACUGGGCGUAAAGCGUGCGCAGGCGGUUUUGUAAGCCAGAUGUGAAAGCCCCGGGCUCAACCUGGGAAUGGCAUUUGGGACUGCAAGGCUUGAGUGCGGCAGAGGAGACUGGAAUUCCUGGUGUAGCAGUGAAAUGCGUAGAUAUCAGGAGGAAUACCGAUGGCGAAGGCAGGUCUCUGGGCCUUACCUGACGCUGAGGAGCGAAAGCGUGGGGAGCGAACAGG
rnacentral:rRNA from 1 species